AGUCCUUUAGAUAACAGUCAGGUCAUUUUAAAGGCAUCGAAAGGCCUCUGGUGCCGUUCAGGAGGAAAGUCUUGAUAGUUUUUGUGACUAUUUGGAAAUGAAAAACAUCACCUAAGGAGCAUAUAACAACAUCAAAAAAUGUUGGAGGUUGGGGCAAAAUUCUUUAACGACCAGAGGAGUAUUUGUCCGUUUUGUAAUGAAGCAAAAGAAACUACUGACCAUCUCUUCUGGAGCUACAGGCUUUUAAGUGUAACAUAUGAGCGGAUCUCA
rnacentral:lncRNA from 1 species